GAUGAACGCUGGCGGCGUGCCUAAUACAUGCAAGUCGAGCGAACGGACGAGAAGCUUGCUUCUCUGAUGUUAGCGGCGGACGGGUGAGUAACACGUGGAUAACCUACCUAUAAGACUGGGAUAACUUCGGGAAACCGGAGCUAAUACCGGAUGAUAUUUUGAACCGCAUGGUUCAAAAGUGAAAGACGGUCUUGCUGUCACUUAUAGAUGGAUCCGCGCUGCAUUAGCUAGUUGGUAAGGUAACGGCUUACCAAGGCAACGAUGCAUAGCCGACCUGAGAGGGUGAUCGGCCACACUGGAGCUGAGACACGGUCCAGACGCCUACGGGAGGCAGCAGUAGGGAAUCUUCCGCAAUGGGCGAAAGCCUGACGGAGCAACGCCGCGUGAGUGAUGAAGGUCUUCGGAUCGUAAAACUCUGUUAUUAGGGAAGAACAUAUGUGUAAGUAACUGUGCACAUCUUGACGGUACCUAAUCAGAAAGCCACGGCUAACUACGUG
rnacentral:rRNA from 1 species